AACAACAGUGAUGUUUCUGGAGGUCGUUGUGUUCUCGUUCUCUCUACUCAUAGAUGUUUAUUCGACGUUUAUGACUGCGUUUUGUUUGUCGGGUAUUUACCAGCAGUGCAUUUAUAGAAUGGUUCUACUUCCCGAUGUUGGAUCACUCAAAAGAUAAAGCAAAGACAAUCACGGAAAUUUAUACGAACCUAUUAGGCCUACAUGCUGUUGUUUAUCAAUCCGCUUGUUUGUUUCAACAGAUUACUUAUUCUUUAACAUUGACAAAAUUAUGACCACAAAACUCAAAACGACACAGCAGAUAUAGAAAAAACGAUUGCAGUGAUCUUGGCGUAGAGUUGGAUAGAGCCAAUAUUCCCGUUCAGUAACAAGGAAGUGCUUAAGGAUGGUUUCAGACGCGAAAAUACAGGAGAAGAAAAUGAACAAGAAAGAGUCGAGCAGUUUUUUGUAGAAACUUUACUGCAAAGAACUAUUACCUUACUCAGUUGCCAUUGUUUUCGCAGUCUGCGGUUCUGGAAGAGGGGAAAUGUUUCUGGAGAAGAGUGGGGAUUGUUCAUUGGAGAAAUGGUAUGUUGACUUAAUUACUAAAUUAAGUGGGAGGCGCUAUCCAGGAGAAAGCUUGAAAAGACCUUGAAUCCAGGAGAGAGCUCUCAGAAGACGACAAGACCUCAGCUAGGUCAGACCACUGGCCCCUUACCAGACACUGCUGCCGCUCACCCCCAACUCCUGGGCCUGCUUUCCCAUGCUUUGGGAAGCCCAAGUAUAUUUUUAAAAGUACAUAGUGUCCAGACUUAGAGAAGAAGACAUCCAGCAUCCUCACUAAAGGCAUAGAGGGAGGCGCUAUCCAGGAGAAAGCUUGAAAAGGCCUUGAAUCCAGGAGAGAGCUCUAAGAAGACGAUGAGACCUCAGCUAGGUCAGACCACUGGCCCAUUACCAGAUGCCGCUGCCC